UCAGCUCCUUCGGUAGUCACUUCGUACAUAGUGAUUCAUGAUGCGAAAUCCUCUCUGUUGAAAUAACUGACGAGGCCUCUGUCUUCUGACUGGACCCUGACUUCCAUGCCCUUUCCACUCUCACUCCAGUACAUGCCCAAACCCCAAUCUUUGUUGCUCCAGGCAUUGCCUCUGUGGCGCUGUGUCCCCUCCUUUGAACUCUGAUCCUUCUGCUCAGGCCCUUUCUCCCAGUCUGAAGUAAGGAGUGAAAAAAUGUGAAUUGUUCUACUCAUCUGGAAAAGAGAACCCUGAGGCAGGAACAAGUCGUUAAUUGCAUGUGCGUUUGUCCACAGCUCACCAUGAGUCAGGCCCUGUGCUAGGUGCUGGGAUGAAGCAGUGACUGACACAGGCCUGGACCUGUCCUUGGGAAGAGUGCGUCUGUGACACAGAUACUGUGCCAUGUGGCAAAACUUGAAUGGAGACAUCAGCUCUUUGUGGGUCUCAAGUCUACUGGCUUUCAAUCAGCUCUUCUGCUUGACAGCUGCAGGUCUUGGGACUGCCCAGCCCCCAUAACCCUGUGAGUGCAUUCCUGAUAAUAACCCUCUUUCUCUUGUCCUCCCCCACCCCACAUCAUUGGUUCUGUUUCUCUGGAGAACCAUAAUACAUCAUUUACUAAUCAGGAAAUAGAUUCAGAGACAUUAAUAACUCAUCCAACCUCACAGUUAACUGUAGAGUUGGGCUUGAAAUUCCAAGGUCGAUUUUCUUAGC
rnacentral:lncRNA from 1 species